rnacentral:rRNA from 1 species
UACGUAGGGGGCAAGCGUUGUCCGGAAUUACUGGGCGUAAAGGGUGCGUAGGCGGCCAGACAAGUCAGAUGUGAAAUACCCGGGCUUAACCCGGGGGGUGCAUUUGAAACUGUAUGGCUUGAGUGUAGGAGAGGAAAGCGGAAUUCCUAGUGUAGCGGUGAAAUGCAUAGAUAUUAGGAGGAACACCAGUGGCGAAGGCGGCUUUCUGGACUACAACUGACGCUGAUGCACGAAAGCGUGGGGAGCAAACAGGAUUAGAUACC